ACUUUCUCUAUGUCUAAGAUUUACACUGAGCUUCCUGUUUAUUUCUCCUGACCCUUUAGGUGAGCAAAAGCAAUGAAGAUAAAUAGUAGCCUUGAUGUCAGGAACUCAACCAAUCCUCUGUAGCCUCCACACCAGAGAAUGCAUUUGCUACAUUUGCAGACGUUCUUCCAUUUAAGAGGUUCCUGGGAGCAGAAGGCCUGGCAUCUAGAAGCCGUAUACAGUGUAGAAAACGUGUGUGGCAAUGGAUGCACCA
rnacentral:lncRNA from 1 species